AGAGCGAACGCUGGCGGCAGGCCUAACACAUGCAAGUCGAGCGCCCCGCAAGGGGAGCGGCAGACGGGAGAGUAACACGUGGGAACGUACCCUUCAGUUCGGAACAACCCAGGGAAACUUGGGCUAAUACCGAAUACGUCCGUAAGGAGAAAGAUUUAUCGCUGAAGGAUCGGCCCGCGUCUGAUUAGCUAGUUGGUGAGGUAACGGCUCACCAAGGCUACGAUCAGUAGCUGGUCUGAGAGGAUGAUCAGCCUCACUGGGACUGAGACACGGCCCAGACUCCUACGGGGAGGCAGCAGUGGGGAAUAUUGGACAAUGGGCGCAAGCCUGAUCCAGCCAUGCCGCGUGGAUGAUGAAGGCCUUAGGGUUGUAAAGUCCUUUCGACGGGGAAGAUAAUGACGGUACCCGUAGAAGAAGCCCCGGCUAACUUCGCGCCAGCAGCCGC
rnacentral:rRNA from 1 species